rnacentral:lncRNA from 1 species
GCCGACAUCCCUGACACGAAAAGAUUUGAACUCCAGGAGCUGCCAUUGAUCUCAACGCUGAAAGCAUUUAAGGAGGGGAUGUCUAACUUGACGGUGUUGUUUACUGACUGCCCCGCUGAUUCUUGGCAUCGCAUAGCCAAGCUUUGCAAGCCUGCAAAGCUCCUCCAACCACCACCACCAACGCCACCAACUUUACAGGAAAUCUGAUUGAUGUAGUCAUGACCAUGCUCACAAACCUUACCUCUCUCUGUUCGUUCUCCUGUCAUCGCAUGCUGUACGUUGGCAGCAGCCACAACAGCCCCACAAGGAUUCAGAAGUUCGUUUCUCUCUCUUUAGUCAUGGUUGCCGUAAGGAGCAGAAUUGUUAGGGUUGGGCUCGCAAGUACCUUUGCCACGGUAGAACAGAUCUAGAAGCUCCUAAGCUGGUUCAGUGCCUAGUGCAAGUGUUGAAACCCUGCGAUGACUUGGGAGUCCAGGUGAAAAUUUGUCUAUCGCGGUGGUGCUGUUGGCCAACAAAGUGGAGAUUACAGGGGCGAUGAUUGUGUUUUUAGUCAUAUUCGUCGUUGCAUUGGUUUCGAACGAAGAACAUGGAUCCUCAGCAACAGAGUUCAACGAAACUGACUAGAACUGAGCUCUCUGGUCGGUGAUGGCUGUUGGGAAAGUCUUCUACGACCAGUGCAAUCAAAAUAUAGCAUUUCCAUUCGGGCAUUCGGUAAGCAGUAGGUUCCCUAGGGUAUAAACUUGCAGCCAAUCGCUACUUUCAUCGCCGUUGAAUUGUUAGUUUCCAAAUUGUAAUACU